rnacentral:rRNA from 1 species
GACGAACGCUGGCGGCGUGCUUAACACAUGCAAGUCGAACGGAAAGGCCCUGCUUUUGUGGGGUGCUCGAGUGGCGAACGGGUGAGUAACACGUGAGUAACCUGCCCUUGACUUUGGGAUAACUUCAGGAAACUGGGGCUAAUACCGGAUAGGAGCUCCUGCUGCAUGGUGGGGGUUGGAAAGUUUCGGCGGUUGGGGAUGGACUCGCGGCUUAUCAGCUUGUUGGUGGGGUAGUGGCUUACCAAGGCUUUGACGGGUAGCCGGCCUGAGAGGGUGACCGGCCACAUUGGGACUGAGAUACGGCCCAGACUCCUACGGGAGGCAGCAGGGGGGAAUAGUGCACACUGGGCGGCAGCCUGAUGCAGCAACUCCGCGUGCGGGAUGACGGCCUUCGGGGUGUAACCCGCUUUCGCCUGUGACGAAGCGUGCGUGACGGUAAUGGGUAAAGAAGCACCGGCUCACUACGUG